UACGUAGGGAGCGAGCGUUGUCCGGAUUCAUUGGGCGUAAAGAGCUCGUAGGCGGCUUGGCAAGUCGGGUGUGAAAACUCCAGGCUCAACCUGGAGACGCCACCCGAUACUGCUGUGGCUAGAGUCCGGUAGGGGAGCGUGGAAUUCCUGGUGUAGCGGUGAAAUGCGUAGAUAUGCGGAGGAACACCGAUGGCGAAGGCAAUCCCCUGGACCUGUACUGACGCUCAUGCACGAAAGCGUGGGGAGCAAACAGG
rnacentral:rRNA from 1 species